rnacentral:lncRNA from 1 species
GUCUCUAUCAUUGAUGUCGAGGAAUCUGAUUCUCUAAUUCCAUUAUGGUCCAACAUUACUUUUUUGGAGGUUUUGAAAGAAUAAAUACAAAUCAAGUUCACAUUAAGAAAGAGAGAGAAAGAAACCUUCACCAGCUACCCACAUGUUAUGUGCUUUGUUAUAGAAAAUUCCCCUGUUUUCUUCAUAUGAGAGUAGAUGAAGCCACGAAAGAUCACGGUACAAUAAAACCGGUUGAUCUAUGUGAACUCCUCCUAUUCAGAAGUAAAUAAUGCAUGGGUAGUAGCCAUUGAUGCAAACAAGCAAAGAUAUAUGAAGUACCUUUUCAACUUGCCAGUCUGAUGGUGAGGCCAGGCAGUAGCCAUCAGCAGAGUCACGGUGACUGUCUUCUUAGCCUGUUCUGCUUCCUGCCUGGAAUGUGAGAGAAUGCACAAGCACAUAAAGUCUAACCUUAAGGUUCAAGCGUAUUGAUGUUAUUUAUGUUCCAUGAGUUUGAAUGUAGUAUUUGACAUUCAUUUGUAUAUGGAAUUCUCUCAUCUAAUGAAAUCUUACGUAUAUCUUUACCCUAAUGAAUUGGGUAGCUAUUGACUCCAUUCCCAACAAGUGAAUUGUUCAAAGUUUUAUCCAUGCAUGCUAAAAACAGAAUUUGUAAGGCAGAGGUCAAAGUAUGCACUAUACACAAUUAAUUCCACUGCUUAAUUUAUCCUCAACCUGUUUAUACGUACAGAUAAACAUCCCACAAAAGGGCUCUAAUUCGUAAAUGGAAUAAGUUAUCGAGCAUAAAAACAAAUUAAGUAAUCCAGAUCAAUACAUCCGUACACAUUUGGAAGAUAGACAUAAGAACUGCAAAACUCUAUGCACGAGCCAUUGAGAGUGAUGGUGGCAGUGGCUGCUUAGAACGGGGCAACAGGGCGAGAAGAAUCUUUUUCCUUGGGCCCUGUUAAUUAAGAAUCCUGAGUCAGGCUCAAUAAAUUUUCUGUGGAUGCAUUUUUCAGUCUUUUUUUAAAAAAAUUAAAGUUUAAUAACAACAAGAAGAAGACGACUCAUAGAGAAAAUGGAAGAAUAUACCAGAACAUUUUUUUUUUUAAAAAAAGCCCCAACUGAAAAGAUAGUCCAGUCACAAUUACAGAAAACGACUUCAAUCAACAGAACAAGACAAAGCUCAUAACUAGAAAGUGGGCAAAUGGAUGCAACAGCUUGGAUGAUAUGAUAUUGAAGUUUCAAGUCAAAUCUUUUAAUAGACUAGUUAGCAAAGUGGUAACUACUACAUCCACAGCACUUUCUAUCAAAUAAUUUGUUAGUGCAUAUAACACAUGCCGUAUGGCACAGUCUUCAUUGGCAAUACUAAUUAGUCUGAUGAAUGGCAAUGCCACAGGUGAACAACUUUUAGAUACCCAAUAUAACACAGAACCCACAUCGAGACUGUGGUAUUAUUGACACUAGUUAGGGGCCAUUCGUUUAUAUGCUUGUCUAUUCAGAAAUGAGAUGUUUGUAUUUUGGUAGCAAAUAGAAUACUGUACUAAUGAAAUAGAUUUCUGGUUAGGGUUUCAGCUUUUUGUUUUAUAAUAAUGCUGAAUCAAAGGCAAUAAUAAUUAAGUACAAUUGAUGAGUAAUCAAAAUAAGAGUUGAAAACUUUGAGUUGUUAAAAACAAUUUAAAGAUGAACUAAUUCUAAUAUUGCAAAGUAAUUAUCCAAGCGUACCAAACUAAUUGAUUCCAAAAUUCAAUAGUUACAAACUAUAACCAAUUUACAAUCCCAAUCUAUCUCACAUCCAUCCCCAUGAAAAACAAGAAACUCAUAAAAUAUAAUCCAGCAAUAUUGGUAAAUCCCUAUAAAAUUUUGACACUUAAGAAGCUCAUGCAACAUUCAACAUUUCAGUCCAUCCAGAACAUUUUGAUUGAAUCCUAAGGUCACUCAGUUGCAACCCCAACCUUAAACUUCGAAACUUGAACUUGAUGAAAUGACAAACCAAUUUUUAACCAGCCCGGUUUAUCAAAAUCAUCCUCUACUUAUUCUUUGGAAUAAGAAACUGGGCUCUCAUUGAAGGAAAGGUUUAUCAAAAUUACAGUGAGGCAACUACGCCAUGCAGGAGUGAAAUCAAGUUUCCAAGCAAAAAAAUGUAUUUCAAUUAGCUAGAUAAUCAUAGAAGAUCAGGGAAAUGAAAAUACCAUCGGUAUCCCCAACUCUUUAAGAUCCUUGUCCUCCAUCUGUCUUAAAGCUGUCAUAUCAAUCUGCCAGAUAUAAUUUGCAAAAAGAAAUCAAAACAUUCACAUGGAAAGAGGGAGCUAAGCCACCUUUUAAAAUCCCAUAGAAAACUGUCAUUACAUUUCAGCUAAGCCACAAGGAACUUCAUUCAUAACAUUCAAAUGGAAAAAUAAAAGCCCGGUGGUUGUGUACUAAAGAAUUUACAUCUUAAAAUGAGACUUUUCAGUGCAAUACAUUCAUUAAGCGCUUAACAAUGCUGAAAAAUAACAUACAUGUUGAGAUAACUUACCUCUUCUGCCUGAAAAUGAAUGGCGUAUUUCCCCAAACCAAGCGAAUUCAACAAGCCAGCAACAGAAAGAGGAAGCUCCCCCUGUACAACAAUCAUUGAUGAGACUUAGCAACAAAAGGAUCGAUUUGAUGUCUAAGAUGAGCUAAUCUACAAGAAUAUAAAAUUUCAUAAAUUAAAUUAGCACACUAAAUUAGAACAAUAAGCUGAACAUAAAAAAAGUAUACCAUUGGGGAACUUCUCUGCAUGCUGCCACUUAUUGCUGUGUGAUCCUUAGCUGCCCUGCCAGAUACAGGGAGGGGAGCUUUCAUUUUCGCAGAUGCAGAGUCUACAGUCCUGUAACUGUCAGCAAUGCCGUUUCUAAGAAACCAUUCAUCUCUUGAUUGAUCAGCUUCUCUCAUAGAGGAACCUCUCCUAAACUCAGCAUCGUAUUUAGGAGGUGAACGCCCCAUGGAGCUUUUCAUGACCCCAUCUGGGGAUCUAACUCUCAUCCUGUCAACAUAGGAAACAGUACUUUUCCUCUGUGAAUGUUCUAGGUAUAGAUCAUCGGCACUUUCUCUGGAAUGCGUUUGUCUUAUAAGAUUGCUCCCUCUAAAUUCAUGCCUACGAUGUACUGCAUCUCCACUAGUUGAGGGCAGAGAAUUUUUCGAAAAUCGAUUGUGUAAAUCCAUCCUUGAGUGUUCUUCCCCAAUACCAAUUUUCUUAGAUUGAUUUUUGCGCAUAAGUUUCAAGCGAAGAUCAUUUUGACCAACUCUGUAGGCUUUAUUUGAAUAAGAACUGACGUAACCACGAGCUAGAAGAAAAACAAUAAAUGUAAUAAAGUAAAAUAAAAUACAACACAAGUAUAGAACAGGCUUGUACCACUUCUCCUUUCGCCGCCACUUAAACUGGAAUGAAAAUCAACUCCACGUUGCCUGAUAAGGGAUUACCCAACUAAGACAUGCAAAAUUCAAAAUACAUAUUCUAAAAACCAGCUCAAAAUCACUAUAAGAACGAGAACAUUCAUACAGAACAUAUGAAAGGAAUGCUGUUAUCUUAAAAGCUACACUAAAAUUGAGAUUUUUAAAGCAUGAAAUCAAAUUAGCUUUGAAGAAAUAAAUAAGUACUCAACAAUUUCAUUCAAUUUUUCCUGCUGAAUUAGACCCAAAAAUAAAAAGAACCAACAGAAUAAGAGCCGAAAGCACGAAGAACAGAAACACGCCUCGAUCUCAAUGCUGCUAAUAAUCAAUAAAGAAAGAGAGAAAAAUAAAAUAAAAUAAAAUAAAACAAACCGUUUAUUCGUGGAUGAGAACAAAUCCUCUGCAUUAUCAGCUGAUCGCUCAAUAUAUCGUUUUCUUCUUGGCUCAGGUCCAGAAUCAACAUAGGAUUGUGCAAAGUCAGCAGCAGAAGAUGAAGAAACUCCUCUCUUCACCACCUGGAAAUGAAUGGAUAUAAACCGAAGCUCAAUUAUCCAAGAGGUAAGGAAAAAAGUAAAGGAAGUUGUUUGGAGGAG